GGGCAAUUCUCUCGCCUCAUACAAACACCUCUGCACACUCCGCCCAAGCAGCACAAGGCACUCUCCACAAUGGCCCCCUCGCAGGUCAACGUCUAGCAUCUCAAUGAGGUCACUGUCAGCGCACACCGUCUUACUUAUCUCUUCCGCCAUCCUCUUCCACACGUCCCUGGCCAUAGGGAAUCUCACGCACGUAUGCGCAUGCUCGUCCUCCUCCAUGGGUCCAUUCAGGAUCUGCUUCAGCCCUGAUAACCUUGCGCUAUGGAGCGCGACUAGCUUGCUAGCCGAAGUGCGGCCCAUCAAUAUCCUGGCAUCUUCUGGCCAUUGUGACGGUGGCAUCCUGACCGCUUUGAUACUAGCCAACCUCGCCAGAUCUCCAAAUUUGAAGAAGCUGGCCAUUGAAUAGACAUGCACAGGACUCUCAUCUACCCAAUGUACCAUAUGGUCUCUUGCGAUGCUGAGCGCUUUUGCACUUUGGUACCCCAAUGCAGCGCGAACAACUCGACCCGUCAACUCAAGCGAUGUCAGGAGGCUCGUGGGGGAGGCAGAAAUGAUCCCUGAAGGGUAAAUCAAAGAGAGAAAGGAGGUGAGCACGAUGGAGGAUUCUGGUACAGCCCAGGUGUAUGGGGAUGAGGUAGGUGUAGGUGCUGUAACGUCUUUUGGAGGGGGAGGAGGCGGAAGGUCUUGGAAUGCUGGAGGAGAUGGAUCAUCACAUGGACUAUUCCCGUUCUUUCGCUGGUGCGAAGUUAACAAGGAAGCUACCCCUGGAGAUCGGGAUAAAUGAGCUGCAAGAAGUUUCGGGAGACAGAGGAUAUUGCUAAGCGGCGUAGCGUCACGCUCCCGAGACUGAGCCGAGCGAUGAGAGUUGGAUGGCAGCUCGAUUGGUACUGCACGAGGCUGAGUCGAUUGUGUCGAUCUAACAUUGUUCAACCGCCACACUGGGACAAACCCAUAGCUACGCAACUUUUUGUCAGCUGCUUCAAUCGUCUUUCGAAACGAGAUCUCGAGAUUCACUAGAUGUGAAAGAAGACAGUCUCCUGCUCCAGUAAUUUUCUGUGUACCAAGAAUCUCUUGCCAUCCACGGUCACAAGCUCGAUAUCACCCACUUUGCCUCCCAAAACUGGUGCAAGGAAAAAAUCGGUAUCACGAUUAGGCAGGGCAGAGUACGCCGGGGCCGGUUCAGAGGGGAUGGCAGGAGACGGAGGGCGGAUGGGAUCAAAGAUGUUGGACAGAGAUUUGUCGGAUGGGUGCUGAGAGUUUUCGUGCAUUGGUUGACUUUCUUUCAAUGCUGUGCUUAAGCAAGAUUGAAACUUAAGCUUCGGGUAAAUUGGUGUUUUGCUGAGAUUUUGAAAGCUCAGCCAAGAGACUAUGAUGUUCAGCAAAGCCAAAAGGAAAGUGAAUAGUCAAGCUGCUUAUUCCAAGCGUCAUUUCCAUCCAUUGGGUCGCUUUUCUAUAACAGGUCGUGAGGGGGCAUGCUUUGUCCCCCUUCAAAAGGUUGCCGCACAAAGAGAACCGUUCAUAUCCUUUGCGCAUUUGCUCCUUCUUUUUUUCUGCUUGUAUGUUGAUUUGUUGUGGCUUGAUAAAGGAGACAAGGGAUCCGUUAUGCACUCGGCUUGAACGAACUCGCACAGGAGAAGCGUGUUGGGAGAAGGGGGAUGGUGAAAGGAUGAGGUGUGUGGCAUUAUGGAAGAAACGACAUCAUCGACAGCAAUGAAUGGAACGAAAUGCAGUCCGUGUAAAGGUGACAAUUGGCAUCGUCCUUUGUACCAAUGUCCGUUUUUAGUCUUAAAACCAACACAUAGGCCGUUUCGCCAUUUCAUCCCCACCCGCAAAGUUGGGAAUCACCUUGGAGCAGAAAUAAGCACGAGGUUAUUAACCCCACCCUAUAGCAAGGGCCGGGACUUCAUGGAAGUAUAAAGUAUUUAUAUGAUAUGGAGAUGUAGUGUUUAUACAGAUGAACUGAAGAUAUGAAAGAAAC
rnacentral:sRNA from 1 species